UGGGGAAUUUUGGACAAUGGGCGAAAGCCUGAUCCAGCAAUGCCGCGUGUGUGAAGAAGGCCUUCGGGUUGUAAAGCACUUUUGUCCGGAAAGAAAUCCUUGGCUCUAAUACAGUCGGGGGAUGACGGUACCGGAAGAAUAAGCACCGGCUAACUACGUGCCAGCAGCCGCGGUAAUACGUAGGGUGCAAGUGUUAAUCGGAAUUACUGGGCGUAAAGCGUGCGCAGGCGGUUUGCUAAGACCGAUGUGAAAUCCCCGGGCUCAACCUGGGGACUGCAUUGGUGACUGGCAGGCUAGAGUAUGGCAGAGGGGGGUAGAAUUCCACGUGUAGCAGUGAAAUGCGUAGAGAUGUGGAGGAAUACCGAUGGCGAAGGCAGCCCCCUGGGCCAAUACUGACGCUCAUGCACGAAAGCGUGGGGAGCAAACAGGAUUAGAUACCCUGGUAGUCCACGCCCUAAACGAUGUCAACUAGUUGUUGGGGAUUCAUUUCCUUAGUAACGUAGCUAACGCGUGAAGUUGACCGCCUGGGGAGUACGGUCGCAAGAUUAAAACUCAAAUGAAUUGACGGGGUCAUAGCUGUUUCCU
rnacentral:rRNA from 1 species